UACAGAGGGUGCAAGCGUUGUUCGGAAUUAUUGGGCGUAAAGGGAGUGUAGGCGGCUUGUUAAGUCUUCUGUGAAAUCUACGGGCUCAGCCUGUAACGUGCAGAGGAAACUGGCGAGCUUGAGUGUCGGAGAGGAUAGGGGAAUACCCGGUGUAGAGGUGAAAUUCGUAGAGAUCGGGUGGAACACCAGUGGCGAAGGCGCCUAUCUGGCUGACAACUGACGCUGAGACUCGAAAGCAUGGGGAGCAAACGGG
rnacentral:rRNA from 1 species